UACGGAGGGUGCAAGCGUUGAUCGGAAUUACUGGGCGUAAAGCGCACGCAGGCGGUCUGUUAAGUCAGCUGUGAAAUCCCCGGGCUCAACCCGGGAACUGCAUUUGAAACUGGCAGGCUUGAGUCUCGUAGAGGGUGGUAGAAUUCCAGGUGUAGCGGUGAAAUGCGUAGAGAUCUGGAGGAAUACCGGUGGCGAAGGCGGCCCCCUGGACGAAGACUGACGCUCAGGUGCGAAAGCGUGGGGAGCAAACAGG
rnacentral:rRNA from 1 species